AAAAAAAGAAACCCUCCCUCUCUCAAAAAAACUCUCUCAAAACCCCAUGGAAGCUCAAGGUGAAAGAUGGAGCUAGGGUGGAUGGUGGCUGCUGAUUUCUUCUCUAAUUUCGUUUGGUUCUUGAAGAAUAAGUGUAGGGAUUUGGAGAUGAUGACAUGUCAUGGCUUUGAUAGGUUUCUAAGUGUUGAAGAUGAAGACUUGGUGAGUCCUCAUAGAUUCGAGGACAAUACCCAAUAUGUUCUUUUAUGUCUUUUUAGUAUUGUUUAAGUUGUGUACGGGAUUAGUCCCGAAUUUUGUACUCUAAAGUAUUAGAUGGUUUGAGACAUCAUGUAUAAAGUCUAGAAAGUCUUCCGCUUGCUAUUGUUUUUUUUAUGAAAU